CUUAUUGGGCUCCUGUCUGCAGGAUUUACGCGCACGUUGGAACCGAAGAGAGCUCUGUUGUUGCAAUGUUCAGCCCACAAGAGCUUACUGGUGAAGGAAUGGGACAAGACCCAUCUUUAUGCAAAGCCAGCGUUACAGUAAUGUUCCAGGUAUUCCUGAUGACAGUCUGCCUCUAUCUUACAGAGCAGCUUGUUGCUAUAUACCAUUGAAAAGCCUUCAGAGCUGAGAGGUACUACUAACCAAUAACCUGCUUGGCUCAAAGGGCCAGCACCUUCUCUCUAAAGCCCAAGAGGAGUUUGAGGAAAACUAGGUGUCUGUGUUCACUCCAGGCUGAAGUUACAGGUCUGAGCAAAUAAGGUGUAUAAAAAAUGGACAUCAGAAGGUGAAUUUUCCAAGUUCUUGGACAACCUAGCUGUUGAAAAGCUUUCUGGGUUUGGGGGGUAUUUCAGAUGUACCUUAAAGUGUUAGCAGACACAGAUUAAGACACUGGGAGCCAAUGAAACAGCAGUUGAGGGUUUGCUGUGUAUCACAUUUCUGUAUUUUAUCACCCCCUUCCUGCAACAUUAUUUAUCUGGAAUCUACCUGCCCUUUUGUUUUUUAGAUACAAGGGCUUGGUUUUGUUACCCAGGCUGGUUUCAAGGCCAUAGCUUUAAGAGAUCCUCUCACCACAGAUUUCCAAAGUGCUGGGAUUGCAGGUGUGAUUCAUGGCACCCAGACUUUGCUGCCUUUCUUACAUGAUCCAGGCCCA
rnacentral:lncRNA from 1 species